GAUGAACGCUGGCGGCGUGCCUAACACAUGCAAGUCGAACGAGAAGCUAACUUCUGAUUCCUUCGGGAUGAUGAGGUUAGCAGAAAGUGGCGAACGGGUGAGUAACGCGUGGGUAAUCUACCCUGUUAAGUGGGGGAUAACCCUCCGAAAGGAGGGCUAAUACCGCAUAAUAUCUUCUCCUCUAAAAGAGGUAAAGAUUAAAGAUGGCCUCUAUACUAUGCUAUCACUUCAGGAUGAGCCCGCGUCCUAUUAGUUAGUUGGUGGGGUAAUGGCCUACCAAGACCACAAUGGGUAGCCGGUCUGAGAGGAUGUACGGCCACACUGGGACUGAGAUACGGCCCAGACUCCUACGGGAGGCAGCAGUGGGGAAUAUUGCGCAAUGGGGGAAACCCUGACGCAGCGACGCCGCGUGGAUGAUGAAGGCCCUUGGGUUGUAAAAUCCUGUUCUGGGGGAAGAAAGCUUAAAGGUCCAAUAAACCCUUAAGUCUGACGUACCCCAAGAGAAAGCUCCG
rnacentral:rRNA from 1 species